rnacentral:rRNA from 1 species
UACGUAGGGUGCAAGCGUUAAUCGGAAUUACUGGGCGUAAAGCGUGCGCAGGCGGUUCGCUAAGACAGAUGUGAAAUCCCCGGGCUUAACCUGGGAACUGCAUUUGUGACUGGCGGGCUAGAGUAUGGCAGAGGGGGGUAGAAUUCCACGUGUAGCAGUGAAAUGCGUAGAUAUGCGGAGGAACACCGAUGGCGAAGGCAGUCCCCUGGGCCUGUACUGACGCUCAUGCACGAAGCGUGGGAGCAAACAGG